rnacentral:rRNA from 1 species
UACGUAGGUGGCAAGCGUUGUCCGGAAUUAUUGGGCGUAAAGCGCGCGCAGGCGGUCUUUUAAGUCUGAUGUGAAAGCCCACGGCUCAACCGUGGAGGGUCAUUGGAAACUGGGAGACUUGAGUGCAGAAGAGAAGAGUGGAAUUCCAUGUGUAGCGGUGAAAUGCGUAGAGAUAUGGAGGAACACCAGUGGCGAAGGCGACUCUUUGGUCUGUAACUGACGCUGAGGCGCGAAAGCGUGGGGAGCAAACAGGAUCA